rnacentral:misc_RNA from 1 species
UACGGAGGGGGUUAGCGUUGUUCGGAAUUACUGGGCGUAAAGCGCGCGUAGGCGGAUUGAUAAGUCAGGGGUGACAUCCCGGGCCUCAACCCCGGAACUGCCCUUGAUACUGUCAGUCUUGAGUUCUGGAGAGGUGAGUGGAACUCCGAGUGUAGAGGUGAAAUUCGUAGAUAUUCAGGAGAACACCAGUGGCGAAGGCGGCUCACUGGCCAGAUACUGACGCUGAGGUGCGAAAGCGUGGGGAGCAAACAGG